AUGCUUGCUUCGGUAGCACACACAUGUACUAAAAUUGGAACAACACAGAGAAGAUUAGCAUGGCCCCUGUGCAAGGAUGACACGGAAAUUCGGGAAGCGUUCAUAUUUAAA
ensembl:snRNA U6 U6 spliceosomal RNA